UGGGGAAUCUUGCGCAAUGGGCGAAAGCCUGACGCAGCCAUGCCGCGUGAGUGAUGAAGGCCUUAGGGUUGUAAAACUCUUUCACCGGGGACGAUAAUGACGGUACCCGGAGAAGAAGCCCCGGCUAACUUCGUGCCAGCAGCCGCGGUAAUACGAAGGGGGCUAGCGUUGCUCGGAAUUACUGGGCGUAAAGGGCGCGUAGGCGGAUCAGCAAGUUGGGGGUGAAAGCCCGGGGCUCAACCUCGGAAUUGCCUUCAAAACUGCUGAUCUAGAGUACGGGAGAGGUGUGUGGAACUCCGAGUGUAGAGGUGAAAUUCGUAGAUAUUCGGAAGAACACCAGUGGCGAAGGCGACACACUGGCCCGUUACUGACGCUGAGGCGCGAAAGCGUGGGGAGCAAACAGGAUUAGAUACCCUGGUAGUCCACGCUGUAAACGAUGAUUGCUAGUUGUCGGCAGGCAUGCCUGUCGGUGACGCAGCUAACGCAUUAAGCAAUCCGCCUGGGGAGUACGUCGCAAGAUAAAACUCAAAUGAAUUGACGGGGUCAUAGCUGUUUCC
rnacentral:rRNA from 1 species